rnacentral:rRNA from 1 species
AUGAUUCUAGGACCCAGAAUCAUACCAGCCGAUGGGUGGUGGUUUAUCGCUCGUUCAGCUGACGGCGGUCAUUUGAUGCUCAUUCGCACGUACCAAAUUGACCAAACCAUUACAUCAAACCACAUGCAGUACAAUGUGUGGGGCGUUCGUGACAUUGAUGGCUAUGGCUGCUUUGUGUUCGAGAAAGAUCCCAGCUCUGUUGGGCCAGGAGUAUUCAACUGGAGAUGGGUUUACAGCCUUGGCAACCACUCCUUGUUCCUCGGGCUCAAUUAUUCGAUCAUCCAACCAAUCAUCGAUCAUAUCACUGGUGAUGAUUACCGUGCUAUGAAACUUCCAUUCGCCAGGGGGGACUGUGUUUACACAUCAUACCAUGGGUUUCAUGAAUCACCAUAUCCAGAGAUUUGUCGACACAUCUUGUUGCCAGAUAAUCUUCAGUGUGUGAAAGGCAUCAAGCUUCCAUGCGAUGGAUGGCUUUUGCAAACCCGACAUGUGGCGAUGUGUUUGAAGCACUCCCCUAGUUUGAAGGAUAGAUACCUUCCUGGGAUCAAGUGCAUCCUAACUCACCUGCUACCAUAUAACUGGAAUUGCCGGUGCAAGUCAAAGAAGGAUUGGCUGGUGCUGCCGGCUGGCGUCAAGUUCGAUCCCACGGAUCAGGAGCUGAUCGAGCACCUCAAGGCCAAAGUGAGUGCUGACAGCGCGAGAUCGCACCCUCUCAUCGAUUUGUUCAUACCAACCAUCGACAGCGAGCACGGCAUAUGCUACACCCAACCUGAGAAACUUCCAGACGCAGACCUGGUGAAGCAAUUGCAAUUUGACAGUUAA